rnacentral:rRNA from 1 species
CCUACGGGAGGCAGCAGUGGGGAAUAUUGCACAAUGGGGGAAACCCUGAUGCAGCGACGCCGCGUGAGUGAAGAAGUAAUUCGUUAUGUAAAGCUCUAUCAGCAGGGAAGUAAAUGACGGUACCUGAGUAAGAAGCCCCGGCUAACUACGUGCCAGCAGCCGCGGUAAUACGUAGGGGGCAAGCGUUAUCCGGAUUUACUGGGUGUAACGGGAGCGUAGACGGCAGUGCAAGUCUGUAGUGAAAGGCGGGGCUCAACCCCCGGACUGCUCUGGAAACUGUACGGCUGGAGUGCAGGAGAGGUAAGUGGAAUUCCUAGUGUAGCGGUGAAAUGCGUAGAUAUUAGGAGGAACACCAGUGGCGAAGGCAGCUUACUGGACUGUAACUGACGUUGAGGCUCGAAAGCGUGGGGAGCAAACAGGAUUAGAUACCCUGGUAGUC